AGAGCCUUUGUACAAGUCCUGUGUACUUCAAAUCAGGAAGAUAUUAUCUGAAAAGGGGAGGUGUGGCCAAGGGGGCAGGGCUAUGCUCCAAAAAGCUGCAAAACUUUAUUGCCCCAUAUAAUAAAAUGAUUUGAAUACAGAGAAAAAUACAAGAUGAAAAUACGGCCAAAACCUGUCAAAUACUCUUAAAUUGUGUUGGAUUCUUUCAUUUUUCUAAAGUACCGAUUUAAAUGAAUAAUAAUGUGAAUCUGAAUAAUAUUGUGUUUUUAUACCCCACCUCCUCUAGACUGUAAGCUCAUUUGAGCAGGGUCCUCAUCAAUCUAUUGUUCCUGUAACAUUUUAUAACUGUCUCAUUGUUAAACUUCCUCCUUUAUAAUGCUAUACAGCGCUGUGGAAUAAGUUUGCUCUAUAUAAAUGCC